rnacentral:lncRNA from 1 species
CCUGAAUCCUUUACAGGUAGAUUCCACCUAAGAGUUUUACCAGAAAACUCUAUAAAACCAACCAGAGCGUUUACUAGGCUACUACACGCUCAAGAACCUUGAAUCUUUUACAGGUAAAUUCCACCUAAGAGUAUUACCAGGAAACUCUAUAAAACCAACUGAAUCUUUACAGGUAGAUUCAACCUAAGAGUAUUACCAGGAAACUCUAUAAAACCAACCUUGAAUCUUUACAGGUAGAUUCAACCUAAGAAUUUUACCAGGAAACUCUAUAAAACCAUCCUAGAGCUUUUUGGUUCAGCUCAAUAACCUCAC